rnacentral:rRNA from 1 species
GAUGAACGCUGGCGGCGUGCCUAAUACAUGCAAGUCGAGCGAACAGACGAGGAGCUUGCUCCUCUGACGUUAGCGGCGGACGGGUGAGUAACACGUGGAUAACCUACCUAUAAGACUGGGAUAACUUCGGGAAACCGGAGCUAAUACCGGAUAAUAUAUUGAACCGCAUGGUUCAAUAGUGAAAGACGGUUUUGCUGUCACUUAUAGAUGGAUCCGCGCCGCAUUAGCUAGUUGGUAAGGUAACGGCUUACCAAGGCAACGAUGCGUAGCCGACCUGAGAGGGUGAUCGGCCACACUGGAACUGAGACACGGUCCAGACUCCUACGGGAGGCAGCAGUAGGGAAUCUUCCGCAAAGGGCGAAAGCCUGACGGAGCAACGCCGCGUGAGUGAUGAAGGUCUUCGGAUCGUAAAACUCUGUUAUUAGGGAAGAACAAAUGUGUAAGUAACUAUGCACGUCUUGACGGUACCUAAUCAGAAUGCCACGGCUAACUACGUG